GUUCAUGUAGCUUAUACUACAAAGCAAGGCACUGAAAAUGCCUAGAUGAGUUCCUAAACUCCAUAAACA
rnacentral:tRNA from 1 species